rnacentral:rRNA from 1 species
UGUUUGAUCCUGGCUCAGGACGAACGCUGGCGGCGUGCUUAACACAUGCAAGUUGAACGGUAUGACAUGGAAGCUUGCUGAAGUGUCAUAUAGUAGCGGACGGGUGAGUAAUGCAUGAGAAGCUGCCAUUGGGAGGGGGACAACAGUUGGAAACGGCUGCUAAUACCCCGUAUGCCGGAAGGUGAAAGGGAGUAAUCCGCCCGAUGAGGUGCUCAUGUCCUAUCAGCUGGUUGGUGGGGUAACGGCCUACCAAGGCGACGACGGGUAGCCGGCCUGAGAGGGUGAACGGCCACACUGGAACUGAGAUACGGGCCAGACUCCUACGGGAGGCAGCAGUGAGGAAUUUUGGGCAAUGGGCGAAAGCCUGACCCAGCGACGCCGCGUGGGCGAUGAAGGUCUUCGGAUUGUAAAGCCCUGUGAGUUGGGAAGAAGG